rnacentral:rRNA from 1 species
GACGUAGGGCGCGAGCGUUGUCCGGAUUUAUUGGGCGUAAAGAGCUCGUAGGCGGCUUGUUGCGUCGACCGUGAAAACCCGGGGCUCAACUUCGGGCUUGCGGUCGAUACGGGCGGGCUAGAGUUCGGUAGGGGAGACUGGAAUUCCUGGUGUAGCGGUGAAAUGCGCAGAUAUCAGGUGGAACACCCGUAGCGAAGGCGGCACUCUGGGCCGGAACUGACGCUGAGGAGCGAAAGCGUGGGGAGCGAACAGG